rnacentral:rRNA from 1 species
GACGAAGGACCCGAGCGUUAUCCGGAUUCAUUGGGUUUAAAGGGUGCGUAGGCGGAAUGAUAAGUCAGUGGUGAAAGCCUGUUGCUUAACAACAGAACUGCCAUUGAUACUGUCGAUCUUGAAUAUGUUUGAUGUGGGCGGAAUAUGACAUGUAGCGGUGAAAUGCUUAGAUAUGUCAUAGAACACCGAUUGCGAAGGCAGCUCACAAAGCCAUUAUUGACGCUGAGGCACGAAAGCGUGGGGAUCAAACAGGAUUAGAAACCCCAGUAGUCC